UGGGGAAUAUUGGACAAUGGGCGCAAGCCUGAUCCAGCCAUGCCGCGUGAGUGAUGAAGGCCCUAGGGUUGUAAAGCUCUUUCACCGGUGAAGAUAAUGACGGUAACCGGAGAAGAAGCCCCGGCUAACUUCGUGCCAGCAGCCGCGGUAAUACGAAGGGGGCUAGCGUUGUUCGGAUUUACUGGGCGUAAAGCGCACGUAGGCGGACUUUUAAGUCAGGGGUGAAAUCCCGGGGCUCAACCCCGGAACUGCCUUUGAUACUGGAAAGUCUUGAGUAUGGUAGAGGUGAGUGGAAUUCCGAGUGUAGAGGUGAAAUUCGUAGAUAUUCGGAGGAACACCAGUGGCGAAGGCGGCUCACUGGACCAUUACUGACGCUGAGGUGCGAAAGCGUGGGGAGCAAAACAGGAUUAGAUACCCUGGUAGUCCACGCCGUAAACGAUGAAUGUUAGCCGUUGGGGAGUUUACUCUUCGGUGGCGCAGCUAACGCAUU
rnacentral:rRNA from 1 species